GAAAUUGAGUCCAACCCGUACACAACAGAAACUUUUUUCAUGACCUUUUGCUUGACUUUGUCAUCGAGAUACUCCAACUUCAGCACUACUUUCUUCAUCUUUUUAGCUGAGACUUCGAGAUCUGAGUUUAGUGAGUAUAUCGAAGUAAGUAGCAGAUCAACACUUAUACUUUUUUUGUCUCUUUAAUUUCUUUCUAUUGGAGUUGCAAAUGAGCUUAUGGAUUUGGAGUCAUUUUAUAUGAGUGAUUUGUGAGUACGCACUGUGUGUAGAAGGGAAGGGACGAAGAAGCAAACCGAGUCAACCACAAGUCUUUAAAUAACAUAAAUAUCAAUUAUUUGAAAGUCAUUACAGUCUUUUUUAUUUUCUAAAUUAUUUUACUUUUUUCCUCUAUUAAUAUACAUAAUAUAGUCAACAUAUAUAUAACAUUCUGUAUAUAUGUUAAGAUUUUUAUAAUAUAUUUAGGAAGUUAAAAUUUUUUGUAAUAUUGAAAACAUAAGAUGUGUAUUUAUGUAAUUUUUAGUUUUUUAAAAGGUCCAGAACUAGACUAUUUUGGGCUCUUAACAACAUGUAGCUCAACUGGCCUAUUUUGUCCAUCACUAAUAUUCAUCUGAAUUAUAUUUUACAAAUAAAAAUAAUAAUAUCGACUAGCUAAAAAGCUUGAUUGAAAAUAUAUUCAUUCGCCUAACAAUAAAGUUUGUGUUGGGAUAUAAAAGAGAACGUAAAAAAUAGAAAGAGUAUUUAUCAGAAGUUGUUUGGUUGCAAUUAAAAAGAGCUGCAACAGGAGCUAUUAAAUAGACUUACAAUUAACCACUAUUAGCUAAAAAUAAGCAAUUAAAAAGAUUAGUGGAUAAACAUGUCCACUACGAACUGAACUAAACUAGCACUACUUAUACUAACUAGGAACCAAUUGACAGCUUUUGAAGCAUUAAUCAACACUCUCCCUUGCUUCAAAGCUUGUUACUCCCAUCUGCAAUCUGAGUACUCAUGCUUCCCAACUGGAAGCGCUUUCGUUAGAAUAUCAGCAGCCUGUUCAUUUGUGCCAUAAUGUUUCAAGACAAUGCUUUCACUUGCUACCAGAUCUCGUAUGAAGUGGUACCAAAUGUCAAUAUGCUUUGUCCUACUGUAAAAUGUCAAAUUUUUCGUCAUUAUAAUAGUUGUUUUGUUGUCGCAGAAAAUUUCAGUUGCAGCAGCCUGCUCCUGAAAGACAUGAGCAAGCAACCUCCUUAGCCAAACCUUGACAGGAUGAUGUAGUAGCAGCAAUAUAUUCUGCUUCAGACGAUGAAAAGGCCACAAUCUCUUGCUUCUUUGAACUCGAGGAUAUAACACCUGAACCAAGAGAGAACACAUAUCUAGAAGUACUUUUUCUGACAUCCAAACACCCUGUAUAAUCACUAUCAGUGAAACCAAACAAUCUAAAAUCUGAUGUUUUGAAGUACCAAAUUCCAAAAUCAGUAGUUCCGACAACAUACCGUAGAAUUCGCUUUACAACUCCAAAAUGAU
rnacentral:lncRNA from 1 species